UCCACCAAUUACUGGUCACUAUUCCUUCCUGAUACUUCCAAAGUUUGGGUAGUCUUAUGGAAAAAGCAAUUCAACGUCUCAGUACAGUCUACGUCCUGCACCAGAACAUUAGGGAACCUGCCACUCUGACUUUGAUCUCACACUUAGCCAUCAACUUUCUAUUACUCUCUGCUUGUUAUUAAUGAAGGUUAAGGUUUAGUGACAUGUAAGAUCACCUCUACCAAAAAGCUGUGGGUUGUGUUAAUG